GGGUGUUAAUAUUUCAGAGUAAAGUUAUUUUAACCCAGAUAGAGUAUUUUCAACAUUUUGGGGAGUAAAACUGCUCUUUUAGUGGAGUUAAAAGUGAGUGUAAAAUUCUGCAGAAACGCAGUGACAAUUUCAACUCUACAGUAGUGAUAAAUACCCACCACUCUGCUGUGCUUGUCAAACGUGCUGCAUUUCAGUGGAGGAAGAUUGCGAAGGAGCAACGCUAGGCCACUGAUAUUGCUCGGGGCAAAAUGCUGUUGCGUGUUCAAUUCGGGGAAGAGCAGAAAUACGUCAAGCUGUCUGAGCUGACAUUCGAUGCUUUCUUGAAAGAAGUUACAUAAAAUCGGCUGCAGGUACCAUGGUGACCAAUGGUUUGAGGGUUCAAAUGAGGGUUCAAAGUCUG